rnacentral:lncRNA from 1 species
GUCGGGCUCCUCCGCCAGCGUCGAGCUGGAGUCGCGCGCCGGCCCGCUGUGGGGUCGGGCGUCCGAGGCCCAGCCGGCCCGAGAAGUAGGCUCGGUCCGAGCUGGACGCUGCAGGUUCUGACCUCGAAACGGGGGCCUGAGUCCUUCAAGAGCCUGGGGGCGAAGAGACGAGAAGGCGGCUGCAUUUUGCUGAAUGGUGGUGGUGUUUGGGGUUUUUUAAAAUCCUUUCUCCCCCAUUUUCCUUUUUACACUUUUUUUUCUUAAAAAAGAUUUUUUUUUGGUCUUUGCCCUUUUAUUCGUUGGGGGAGUGAAUGCUGUCAGUGGCGAAGUAAAAUUAGGAAGGGGCCCUUGCCCGGCUGGCGCCUUCUCUGCGCGCUGACCUGCGGGCGAGGCUUGGGGCAGAGCUCGGCGGAGGGCGGAGGCCGCAAGUGGAGGGCCAUGCAGAUUGGAUCAAACCAGAAAUAAGGCUCUCUGUCCAGAAAAAGCCUUCACUGAAAGAAAUAACGUGCUUAAGGAAGGAACGUAUAAGUCAGGAAUUGAGCCAAGAAAAGCCUGCGAAGUAAAUAUUUGGCAGGGUCCCAGUCUGAAGGGGAAAGUCUCCCGAGCAGUUCUGGAGGCCAGAAUCUGAAAUCAAAGUGUCAACAGGGCUAUGCUCCCAGAAGCUUUAGGAGAGAAUCUGUUCCUUGGCUUUUCCAGUUUCUGGUGUCUGCUGGCAUUCCUGGGCUUGAAGGCACAAUCAGUUCAUCUUCAACUGCCUUCUCUGGGGAGACGUGCGUUGUGCACCCAUGAAACUGACCUUGUUUGGGAGUCAUGGACAUAUGCAUGAUAUUUAAAGCCAUGAGAUUGGAUGAGAUCAUCAAAGGAAUGAGAUCAUCAAAGGAUGGAGAAGAGGACCAGAGGCUGUGGUCAUCGGGAUGAACAAAACUGAGUAAGCAGAUAGGAGCUGCUUCAGGGAGUGUUGGGAGCUCAAGCUGUGUGAGAGGGGCUCAAAGCCCAGGGUGCUAGAUGGUACCAGCUACUUCUGCACGGUUGCCAAUGGAAACCAGAUAACUGGACUCUGACUGAAGCAGACAUGCCACCUUACGUCUUCCAUGAGAAGGACCGUAGGUUUCUGGCACAGUCCAAGUGUCCAGAGGAUUGUCAACACUCGUAUCAAUGGGCCCGUAGCUCCUGGAUUCCAGGGAAGGCAUCACUCCUCGUGGCUCUUACCCUCCUCCUGGGGUCAGCAGAAAGGCUGGAGCAGCUCUUCUCACAGAAGGGUCAAGAGGUCAAGUGGAGGCGUGAGAAGCAUCUUCGGGCCUAUGCUUGACACUGGCACAUUGUCCCUUGUUGGCCUAAGAGAGUGACAAAGACAAGAAAUGGGGACGUGCACUCUAUACAUGGACAUGGUGAUAGGAGAGGGGAUUCAUAGCUCUGAUCUAAUCUCUCUCUCUCUACAUCUGCGUACAUGUAUGUAUCUACAUUUAUCCAUCUAUAUACAUCUAUCUCCACAGCUACAUGUAUAUACAUUACCUAUUUAUCUCUACAUCUAUCUAUCUAUCCAUCUACAUCUAUAUACAUCUGUCUGUCUCUACAUCUACAUACAGGCAUAUAUUUACACUUAUCUAUCUAUCCAUCUACAUAUAUCUGUCUAUCUACAUCUAUUUAUCUGUCUAUCUAUAUAUUUAGAGAUAUUCAUUUCUAUGUGUAUAUAAAGAGUUUUAAAAAAGGAUAGACCACAAAUUAAUGGGAGUUUUGUGAACAUGGUAGAUUUUAAAAUCAUUUUUAUUUUUUCUUUAAAUUUUUGCCAUACGUACCCUGCUUGGUGUAAUCUUAUAACAACAAUAAAGACAUUUUAUUGCGGAA